UACGUAGGGUGCGAGCGUUGCCCGGAAUUAUUGGGCGUAAAGAGCUCGUAGGCGGUCUGUCGCGUCUGCUGUGAAAACCCGAGGCUCAACCUCGGGCCUGCAGUGGGUACGGGCAGACUAGAGUGCGGUAGGGGAGAAUGGAAUUCCUGGUGUAGCGGUGGAAUGCGCAGAUAUCAGGGGGAACACCGAUGGCGAAGGCAGUUCUCUGGGCCGUAACUGACGCUGAGGAGCGAAAGCGUGGGGAGCGAACAGG
rnacentral:rRNA from 1 species